rnacentral:rRNA from 1 species
GAUGAACGCUAGCUACAGGCUUAACACAUGCAAGUCGAGGGACCGGCGCACGGGUGAGUAACACGUAUCCAACCUGCCCUUUACUCGGGGAUAGCCUUUCGAAAGAAAGAUUAAUACCCUAUAUAAAGGAUGGGGAUGCGUUCCAUUAGGUUGUGGGUGAGGUAACGGCCCACCAAGCCUUCGAUGGAUAGGGGUUCUGAGAGGGAGGUCCCCGGGAUUGGAACUGAGGCACGGUCCAAACUCCUACGAGAGGCAGGAGUGAGGAAUAUUGGUCAAUGGGCGGUAGCCUGAACCAGCCAAGUAGCGUGAAGGAUGAAGGCUUAUGGGUCGUAAAUUUCUUUUAUAUAAGAAUAUGUAUUAUAUGAAUAAGGAUCGGCUAACUCCGUGCCAGCAGCCGCGGUAAUAC